rnacentral:lncRNA from 10 species
GAAACAUUCGGAUCAAAUAUUCCAAAGCAGUUUGUGCCUGCUGUAGAAAAGGGGUUUUUAGAUGCCUGCGAGAAGGGCCCUCUUUCUGGUCACAAGCUCUCUGGGCUCCGGUUUGUCCUGCAAGAUGGAGCACACCACAUGGUUGAUUCUAAUGAAAUCUCUUUCAUCCGAGCAGGAGAAGGUGCUCUUAAACAAGGUAUGCUGGGUCCGGGCACCUUAGCCUGUCUGUUUUCCUGAUAGAUCAUCAUAGCCUCAGAAGGCAACACUGUUUUCAGUCUUCUUCACCCAGAGCACUAGGCUCCACAGGGAAUAUUGUAGGUAGUGGGCAAAUCUUUAUGGACUUGAGAUCAAGGUAGAUUAUUAUGUUCUCUUUCUUGCAAAGCUAAAAGACUACUGUAUUCUCCUACAUUCUCUGGGGCUUUCUUUCAUGUAUUUGAAUUCAUAGAUAAUUUAUAAGUUCUGUUUUUAAUAGGGAAGACUGAAAUGUUCAGAAUUCUAGGAAAUUUUUAAAAGGUAUCUUAACUACAGUCUUAUUUCUAGUGACUUAUUGAAAUGUCAAGAAAUCCAUAAAUUUGUAAGUAAUCUCUUCAUUAUGACAUUGUAUGCUUUUAGGCAUUUUGAGGAUGGCAAAGUAUUUUCAAAGAAUUUGGUAAACCUUAUUCACAAUGCAGAUUUCUUGCAAAACUGCUAAAAUUGUCAACAUUUCUCACAGAGUAAUAUUUGUAUUUAAAUGCUGAUGAACUAGAACCUUAUGCAGUUGCAAACAUAUCUGAUUCUUCGCUUUUAAGAGAAAAAAAACUAGUGACAAUGUAGCAGUUUCACAUCAGGAUUAUUCAAGAAAG